CAACUGACUUUCUGUCUUUGUGUCAGAGAUCAACUAAUUAACUUUUUUCUCUUUUCAGUGUCAUCUUCCAAAUUCCAUUUUGACUUUAUCUGUGUUGAAGAUUGUUAUAUACUAACCAGCAGGUAGAUUCACUGAGCUCUGGAGGCUGCUUCAGUAGGCUGCAAUGGCUUCAGAGCUAUCUGUUCUGCUAACUGGGCGUCAGGGACUAAUUCCUGCCUGAAAAGGCAUGAUAGCAAGCCAGGAGAGGACAGAACAAACAGCCUUUUACUGUCUCAUGACUCUAGGUUGCUUAAUGCUUGGCUUUCAUCUCUGUGUGUCUUCAUGGAAGUCAUUAGGUCCUACUUAGAGGCUAUAAAUGAAACACAUGUUGAAGGUUACUUGAUUCACAUCCUGAAAACUUUGUCCCCACACAGUGUUAUAACACCCUUGUUUGUCAUAGUGAAAUCUGCGGAGAAGGAUUAAGGAGUGGUAGAUGACCUUGAAAACUGAGGUAACGGAAAUUGCAAAGAAAUGCAAAGUGUAAAAUAGCGACUAGUAACAAUAUAUGCUGUACUUUUAGGUGAAAACUAAAGGAGGGGGGGGUAGGCAAAUUGAGCUCUGAAGAGGUAUCAUUGACCCACCCGUGUGCUAUGUAAAGAACGCCAAUGUAACCCUAAAGUGUAUCGAGUAAAGUAUUUUCAGUGGUUCACAUGGAAAGUUUCAUUGACCCUUGAGUAUGACGUCAUUUCAAACACGAACUACAGUUCUGGUCCCUCUCUUACAGGAAAGAUGAGUUCAUAUUCAAACUGACAACCUAGUGUCAACAAGAUAGUCUAGGGGAGUGGAGCAACUUUUCUGUCACUGGUGACUUAAAAGAGAUUGGUUUGUUCAGCUUAGCAAAACAAAGCUUGAGAGAGGAUCUUGUUUCCAUUUGUAAACAAAAUCGAGUGUAAAAAUAGGCAGCAAAAGAAAAAAGAACAACUGUUUAUGUGAAAUAACAUUAGUGAUAAAGGAAUAUUUUGUAUAAAGUGACCAUAAAUAAAUGUGGAUUGGAAAUUAAAAUAUUUUGCUCAACAGAACAGUCCUUAAGAAAAGCUUCCCAACAUGAAUUGGGAGGUAUAAAAAACUGAAAUCAGUUUUUAGGUCGAUGUGGUUGGCUUGUGAAAGGGAUUUUACGAUGUAGUUACCUAUAGCAGCAAGGGACUUGUUCCUGUGCCCUUGCAUUAAUUUUCCACUAUGGUGGUUUUUCACUUUCCCCCUCAAGCAUCUGGGACUAGCUACUGUCAGAGAAAGACUAAUGAGCUAAAGGGACCACAGGUGCAGUCCAAAAUAGCAUUGGGUAGUCCUGUUACUUACUUCAAAUGUUUUAACACAGUGACUGUAUAGAGUUGAGGGGGAUUAACAGCUGUUAGGGGUGAUGAAUGCCCUGAACUGCUCCUAAUUCUGAAUAGGGAAAGCUAAAGAACUCCCAGGCUGGAAAAGAAUGAGGGUCACCAGUGCAUUGAUGUUCUUCCACUUUGAAGGGAUUAAAAAAGAAAAAGAAAAGAAAAAAAAAAAGCUGUAACAGCAUUCAAAUGAAUAUGCAAAUGAUAAGGUGCAUUUAUAGUCUUUUCAGUGCUAUUGUAUCAGAGAUGAGUGUGUCCCAGUGGUUUCAAAGCAAAGGCAGCACCCAACACACUGAAGAUGGAAGCUCAAGGACAGAUGGAAUCGGUGCGAUGACAUCUGAAGUUCCAUCUCAGCUACUGUGUACACACUCAUAAAUGCUUCAGAAGAACCAAGCUGUACACUUGCUGUACUUUGAAGAGAAAUGUGAAGAAAUCCAGAGGGGAAAAAACCCACCCAAACUGAGAAGCCUUGCGAUAGUUAAAAGGAGCCUGUUUAAGAGCAGAACACUGUGGACCUUUCACCACACCCAUCAUCCACACAGGAAGAGGAAACCAUGAUGUACAACUGCUGCCCAAGAAAUCAAAAGGCACGGCUGAAGUGAACUGUCACUGAGCUUCUGCUAGGGAUCGUGCACUGUGUGUCCUUUACUCUGAGCCAGGCACCCAUCUGAAAAAGAUGACUUGGAAUUUCUGCAGAAGAAAAGAAAAAGCUUUAGCAGGUAAAAAUUGCAAGUUUCACUUUUUACAAGCUUAUCUUCCUUUACUAAAAAUACCUCUGAGGUUCUUAUUUUCUGUAGUGCAUAGGGCCUAUACUAAGUUUUAUCAGCAUGACUGCUGUAUCAUGCUGCACACAUUUGUUUUAGGCUUGUGCCUUU